GUGCUUGCUUUGGCAGCACAUAAACUAAAAUUGGGAUGAUACAGAGAAGAUGAGCAUAGCCCCUGUGCAAGGAUGACAUGCAAAUUCAUGAAGUGUUCCACAUUUUG